rnacentral:lncRNA from 1 species
GGGAUUUGGUUUGUUUUUCCUUACAGAAGAGAGAGCAACAGAGAUGGGGAGGAAUCCAGCUCUGCCUGACAUCCAGGCAUCCUCUCCAAAUUGCAUAGGUCAGUGAGAACGUGUUAUUUAUUAGAACCUGACAUCUGUUGCAGUGAAAUGAUAAGCUCCAUUGAAAAGCCUGGCCAUCAAUUACUGCCAAUACAGCCCUCAUCCCAGAGGAAGCCACUCACCAUCCUCUCAGCCUGUGCAGACCAGGCUGCACCAGGCACGGAGUGUUUACAGCCCAGCUCAGUCUCCUGGCUCCCCUGGGGGAGGGGCAGCAGGGCUUAUUUCAAAACCUUUGUCCCUCAGUUCCAGGAGGCAGCAUUUGCCAAUGGAAAGCUCUAGGAAACACCAGUCUUGAGAGGUGGCCAGCCAGACUGCCUGUCCACAUGCGUGUCAGCACAUACAGCCGCUUCCUGGAAGCCGCCUGGAAUGUCUUCACGGCAGCGUUUUGCUCACACAGCAGCUUUUGCACGCCCCAGGCAGCCCCGACUGCUGAAAUCCAACUUGAGCUGGCUGGUGGUCCCUGGAUCCUAGAGCCCUUCACUUCGGGUUACUCCCUCUUUCUUGCCUCUAUUUCUUAGUUGGAAGAAAUAAACUCACAAAUUAUGGUGCAGUAAUUUUCCGGGGAAAGUAAAGCCUCAGGAAUGCCCACGCCUUUCUUCCAAAGCCUUUGUCUCUGAGACCUCUUAAGUUCUAAGAUUAAAUGCCCCUCGCUGUUC